UACGUAGGGAGCAAGCGUUAUCCGGAUUUACUGGGUGUAAAGGGCGCGCAGGCGGGCCGGUAAGUUGGAAGUGAAAUCUAUGGGCUUAACCCAUAAACUGCUUUCAAAACUGCUGGUCUUGAGUGAUGGAGAGGCAGGCGGAAUUCCGUGUGUAGCGGUGAAAUGCGUAGAUAUACGGAGGAACACCAGUGGCGAAGGCGGCUUACUUGACGGCAACUGACGUUGAGGCUCGAAAGCGUGGGGAGCAAACAGG
rnacentral:rRNA from 1 species